CCCACCCCCACCCCCACCCCCCCACCCCCACCCCCACCCCCACCCCGCGCUCGGGAGCCUCUCGGAAUAAAUAUUUCCAGGCUCCGGGCCACGGGCUGGCGAGACCCCGCGGGGUGGCCGCAGGCCAAAGAUUAUUUAUAGCGAAAACUACUUCCAGCUAAAUGUGCACACACGCCAGUACAGCCGAAAAGUGACUCUGCAGAACCCGGAGCCCUAAUCACUUUUCCACAUGCGCCUCCGGCCCGGCGCGCGACGGGGAACGAGCCGGGAGCGCCCGCGCAGCCAGGAGGGGGGCUGGGCCGCGGGAACGCUGUCCCCCUCCCAGGCUGGAAGACGGGGAUAAUUCCCCCUGCCGUGCAGCCCUUCUAGACGGCGUCUACCCCUUUAAGAAAAAUCUAGGCGGAGGUGGGGUGCGACAGAAGGGGUGGUGAGGCGAGGGUUUCCCUCCCUCCGUCUGCUAUACCCGUCUCCCUCGCUCCGUCUCACUCUCCGUCUUUCCUCUCCUUCUUUUCCUCUGUUUUUCUUUUCUUUCAACACAAAAGUUGGGUUGUGAAUUUUCCGAGGUCGCCGCCGCCUCGCCCCCACCCCCCGCCUCUGAUCUGCCUAACUAUAAUUAAAGUGCGUUUUUUGUGGC